GACGAACGCUGGCGGCGUGCCUAAUACAUGCAAGUCGAGCGAAUGGAUUAAGAGCUUGCUCUUAUGAAGUUAGCGGCGGACGGGUGAGUAACACGUGGGUAACCUGCCCAUAAGACUGGGAUAACUCCGGGAAACCGGGGCUAAUACCGGAUAACAUUUUGAACCGCAUGGUUCGAAAUUGAAAGGCGGCUUCGGCUGUCACUUAUGGACGGACCCGCGUCGCAUUAGCUAGUUGGUGAGGUAACGGCUCACCAAGGCAACGAUGCGUAGCCGACCUGAGAGGGUGAUCGGCCACACUGGGACUGAGACACGGCCCAGACUCCUACGGGAGGCAGCAGUAGGGAAUCUUCCGCAAUGGACGAAAGUCUGACGGAGCAACGCCGCGUGAGUGAUGAAGGCUUUCGGGUCGUAAAACUCUGUUGUUAGGGAAGAACAAGUGCUAGUUGAAUAAGCUGGCACCUUGACGGUACCUAACCAGAAAGCCACGGCUAACUACGUGCCAGCCGCCGCCGUAA
rnacentral:rRNA from 1 species